CACGUAGGAGGCGAGCGUUGUCCGGAAUCAUUGGGCGUAAAGAGCGCGCAGGCGGCUUGGCAAGUCGGGUGUGAAAUCCCGGGGCUCAACCCCGGGACUGCAUUCGAUACUGUCAGGCUAGAGGUAGGUAGGGGAGAUCGGAAUUCCUGGUGUAGCGGUGAAAUGCGCAGAUAUCAGGAGGAACACCGGUGGCGAAGGCGGAUCUCUGGGCCUUACCUGACGCUCAGGCGCGAAAGCUAGGGGAGCGAACAGGAUUAGAUACCCUGGUAGUCCUAGCCGUAAACGUUGGGUGCUAGGUGUGGGCGGAUAUCAACCCCGUCCGUGCCGAAGCUAACGCAUUAAGCACCCCGCCUGGGGAGUACGGCCGCAAGGCUAAA
rnacentral:rRNA from 1 species